rnacentral:rRNA from 1 species
ACAACGGGUGGAGCUUGCGGUUUAAUUGGAUUCAACGCCGGAAAUCUUACCGGGACCGACAGCAAUAUGAAGGCCAGGCUGAAGACUUUGCCGGAUUAGCUGAGAGGUGGUGCAUGGCCGUCGUCAGUUCGUACUGUGAAGCAUCCUGUUAAGUCAGGCAACGAGCGAGACCCACGCCCACAGUUGCCAGCGUACUCUCUGGAGUGACGGGUACACUGUGGGGACCGCCGCUGCUAAAGCGGAGGAAGGAAUGGGCAACGGUAGGUCAGUAUGCCCCGAAUAUCCCGGGCUACACGCGAGCUACAAUGGUCGGUACAAUGGGUAUCUACCCCGAAAGGGGACGGGAAUCUCCUAAAACCAAUCUUAGUUCGGAUUGAGGGCUGCAACUCGCCCUCAUGAAGCUGGAAUCCGUAGUAAUCGCGUUUCAACAGAACGCGGUGAAUACGUCCCUGCUCCUU